GGCCACGUGGCCGAGUGGUUAGGCAAGGGUCUGCAAAACCCUUUACACCGGUUCAAUCCCGGUCGUGGCCUCCA
rnacentral:tRNA from 2 species